CCCAGUGAGUAGGGGGAAACACUGGGGGUGAUUGGCGUCAGAAGGGGACCCCACCUUUGGUAGACUGUGUCCCUGGGUCUCCACGGCCACAGAUAUUCCGAACUCGGUCCAGUCUAAUGUGACCAGAAGAAAAUGGAACUCGCUGUGGAAGAAGAGCGGAGCUCAGCCACUUUCGUCUGUGCAGGUGCCCUACAGAUGCAGCAUGGAAACUUUCUGUACCUGGGAAAGUGGCCCUGGGGACAAGGUAGGGAUUUGCGCAGCUUGUUGCCUGGAACCGUUUCCUUUAAUUUUGUAAGUCCAGCGACGGCAGACAGUGGAACCCUUCAACCCAGUGAUCCCUUCCCAUCCCCACCAAACUGCCAUUGCUUAUUGACACUUACAGACAAAUACACACCAAAAUGGAUGCCCGGACCCAUUGCGCUUCCAGUCCUAGUCACCUGGCACCCUUCUUCUGCGAGUGCACGAAGCCCACACCAAUUAGCUAAACAACGGUUUUGUCUCUCCCUUGCCUGCAAGCACAGAUUCCCCACUCUGAGCUUGUGUGUUGCCCGUCAGGGGAUGCCGGGCUCAACAGUUCUUCCAGCCUCAGUGAUUCUGAGGGGCAGAGACGUACCCUGCUGGGAGGAGGCAUCCUCGUGUGGGCCUGCUACCUGCUAUCAGAAACACGGGGAUCCUGAUGGUAAGGUGAUAGCAUCGUGCAAACUGCUCCACGCCACGCCAUGAAUCUGCACAGCCUUUCUCAGCCCGACUCAUGUGUUGCUUAAACUUAGGAAACAAUUAUUGUGUGACUUUCUUUUAGAUUUUCUUCUUCUUCUUCUUCUUCUUCUUCUUCUUCUUCUUCUUCUUCUUCUACUUCUACUUCUUCUUCUUUUUUUUUUUUUAGAAUAGUUUUCAUCUUGUCUGCAGAGUGAAUUCCAGGACAGCCAAGAAAGGCUACAGAGAGAAAUCCUGUCUCAAAAAAAAGUGACGACAAUGAAGAAUUUUUUAUCUAAUAUAUUUAAAAAUGUGCUCUCCCUUCCAAACUUGAUGGCUUCUGUGUAUGCUCUGAGACCCCAGCAUGCACUGCCCUUCCGGGGAUGGACCGCCACGCCCCGUCCCCUUCCUGCCUUGCACGCGUGCUUAUUGAGAAAAGCCAAGUGACUCAUGGCGGAUGCCUGUGCCCGUAUCUACACACGAAAUUAAGAAGUAAUCAAUAAGAGAUGUCAUAAGUAACUUCUGAUUUUAGCAGGGGCAGUGGUGCAUAGGUAAAGAUGCAAACCAUCCUCCCCCCUUAAAUAUUUGAUGAGACUCUAUUGAUGAUGAGACUCGAUUGACCCUUCCUAAAAACUGGAGUUCUGAUGACGUCAUCAAGAACUAUAGUUAAGAAAAAAAGAAAAAGAAAAAUGUCUUGUGCCUAAGGGACUACAAGUAAGCAAGUACAUGCUUAAGUGAAACGAAAGAAAUUUAAUUAUGUGUAUGAACAUUUAUACUAAAUGGUUUCUCCGGGAAGCCAAUGGGAAAUUACAGCUAACUAGAGCAACAGAAUAAGGUCUGUUGUUGAGGGUUAUUAGCCUAAUCACAUCAUCCAAUUUCACUUCCAACCACAAUUGUGCCAUUUGUCCAUGUCAAAAUAAAG
rnacentral:lncRNA from 1 species